GUUGGGGUAAGUCCCGCAACGAGCGCAACCCUUGAUCUUAGUUGCCAGCAUUCAGUUGGGCACUCUAAGGUGACUGCCGGUGACAAACCGGAGGAAGGUGGGGAUGACGUCAAAUCAUCAUGCCCCUUAUGACCUGGGCUACACACGUGCUACAAUGGACAGAACAAAGGGCAGCGAAACCGCGAGGUUAAGCCAAUCCCACAAAUCUGUUCUCAGUUCGGAUCGCAGUCUGCAACUCGACUGCGUGAAGCUGGAAUCGCUAGUAAUCGCGGAUCAGCAUGCCGCGGUGAAUACGUUCCCGGGCCUUGUACACACCGCCCGU
rnacentral:rRNA from 1 species